rnacentral:rRNA from 1 species
CUACGGGCGGCUCCAGUGGGGAAUAUUGCACAAUGGGCGCAAGCCUGAUGCAGCAACGCCGCGUGAACGAAGAAGGUCUUCGGAUCGUAAAGUUCUUUUCUUAGGGAAGAAAAAUGACGGUACCUAAGGAAUAAGCACCGGCUAAAUACGUGCCAGCAGCCGCGGUAAUACGUAUGGUGCAAGCGUUAUCCGGAAUCACUGGGCGUAAAGGGAGCGUAGGCGGUUUUGCAAGUCAGAAGUGAAAGGCUACGGCUCAACCGUGGUAAGCUUUUGAAACUGCAAGACUAGAGUGCAGGAGAGGCAAGUGGAAUUCCUAGUGUAGAGGUGAAAUUCGUAGAUAUUAGGAGGAACACCAGUGGCGAAGGCGACUUGCUGGACUGUAACUGACGCUGAGGCUCGAAAGCGUGGGGAGCGAACAGGAUUAGAUACCCCUGUAGUC